UCAUCCCCAGUUAUGAUACUGAAAUAAAAAUAUCUAAUUAGAAUAACCAUAAUUAAAUAAAAUUAAAGAUGCAUACACCAUUACAAUUUUCUGCAUUAAAAUCUACCAGCUGAAAAAAAAAUACAUCAUAUUCUUAAUUAAGAUCUUCUACCUGAUUGUCUAUAGCAACAUGUAUCUUGAGAGAAGCUGUCUUGUUCUUUUCUUCUCAAAGGGGUUGAAUUUUGUGUCGAAGUGAUUAAAUAUGCAAAAGUACCUUCCUAAGAGGCAUCUUGUAAGCCGUUACUGACAUUCAGGAAGGACUACUAAGACGACAGUACUAACUGGACAACUGCAAAACUCUGCAAAGCUCUGGUGUACAAAAAUCCAUUACCUGAAGUGGCCCAAGCCUUAACUACACACAGUAACUAUAAGGACCAGCAACGAAGAUAAGAAUGGGUGUUCUCUUUUCUAGCACGGAGAAGGAAGAUACUUCAUAUGAAGGCCACAGUCUUGCACAGAUAAGAAUAAUGAAGGAUACAUGGUAAUGAAGUUUAACAGGGAGACUUUUUUAUUUCUACAUUAUUGCUCUUUGACAAUAAAGUCGUAUACAAAACUCCUCA